rnacentral:rRNA from 1 species
CUACGUGCCAGCAGCCGCGGUAAUACGGGGGGUGCGAGCGUUAAUCGGAAUAACUGGGCGUAAAGGGCACGCAGGCGGUGACUUAAGUGAGAUGUGAAAGCCCCGAGCUUAACUUGGGAAUUGCAUUUCAUACUGGGUCGCUAGAGUACUUUAGGGAGGGGUAGAAUUCCACGUGUAGCGGUGAAAUGCGUAGAGAUGUGGAGGAAUACCGAAGGCGAAGGCAGCCCCUUGGGAAUGUACUGACGCUCAUGUGCGAAAGCGUGGGGAGCAAACAGGAUUAGAUACCCUGGUAGUCCACGCUGUAAACGAUGUCGAUUUGGGGAUUGGGCUUUGAGCUUGGUGCCCGUAGCUAACGUGAUAAAUCGACCGCCUGGGGAGUACGGCCGCAAGGUUAAAACUCAAAUGAAUUGACGGGGGCCCGCACAAGCGGUGGAGCAUGUGGUUUAAUUCGAUGCAACGCGAAGAACCUUACCUACUCUUGACA